GUCUAGGUGCCGGAGUGGUUAACGGGUGACCCUGCUAUCAUCAGAAAGCUCAGGUCAUGUCUUCGGACGCGCAGGUUCGAAUCCUGUCCUAGACG